GCCUCUCCAGAAAAAAAGGAAAACCUACAGUGAAAUGGCAGAGUCACCUCAGCAGGUUAUUGAAGUCUGGGAGAAGGAAUGGAGAAAAGUUGAGGAUUCUCAUGCCCGGCAGAGGAAGAGAUGAUCUGAGAUUCGGAAGUUUCUCACAGGCAACGUGGGCUUGGGCUGUGCCCAACAGAGAGCAGAGGCCCUGUCUAAUUUAGAAGAGUGCAGGCGUCCUUGUGAAAGCCAGGAGAAGCUCCAAUCGGAUUCAACGUCGGAGCCUGACCCUGUCAAUCAGAGUGGCCUGUGGUCGCAAUUUUCUGGGAAAUGUAGAAAAUCAUCAUCUACAGUAAAUCUGCUGCCUGAAAUGCCUUCACAUCAUCUAUAUUUUAUUUACAGUCUUGCUGCAUGUCUUCUAUUGCUUUGUGUCUUUACAUUUUGAUUAACAAUAUCUGGUUGAAGA